ACGCUAACUACUUGUUGUUAUUUGGACAUAAAUUAUGAACUUUGUCAAAAGAAACCACAUUUGUUCCGGACCUGGGAUCCCUGGCAGUGCCUUCUGAUGGAGAUAAUCAAAGUUGAUGGAGAAGUUGGGACCAUUGUUCUCGGGAGUCACACAAUUCGUAGAGAAUAACAUCAGGAUCUGCUUAUCAUCCAACGACUGUUUUGUCAAGAUGCACCUUGUUCCCCGAGAAGGUGUCAGUUAUCCCAUCUACUCGACAGGGGGAGCCACAGUCCAUAUGGACUCAUUGGUGAUGAUGGUGGAAGACCCAUCAAGAUGAUGCGCAUGUGUGCUCAGCCCUCCUACCUGAUCUACUCCAGACCCAGCAUCGCUCCUCGUUUUGCCGACCCUCCACGUAUCUGUUAUGUGAAGUACCCUGUGCCUACCUACAUAUGCUUAUGAUGAUUUUAAAGAUUGUAAACCCUUUUUCACUUCAUAUUAUGCACUUUAAACCUGUUUUCUCAAUGUUUACUUUGAAAAUAUAAGGUUCUGCUAUA